CCGCAACCCAAUGGCAUCUCCUUUCCCUCCCAUGUUUCUCAGGUUUCUUCUCUCUCUCUGUGUCUCUCGCAUAUGAAUGAUCCUGUAAACAAGUGUGACCCUUUACGAAAAUAUUGGCCUUUGUCUGUGCGUGUUGGGUAAUAAUGGAACUUACUUUACAAAGGUGAUCGAGCUGCUGACUGUUUGAAUUUAGUAUACAUUGGUUCAUAUUUCUCUCUUUUAUUCGUCAUCUACAGAAUCAGUCUACAUUCUGGAGGUUGCGUGCAACAACCAAUGAGGUAGAGCUUGCAUGUUUUUUUUACCAACAAUUAAACGUUAGUAGUACGAUUGUAACCUUCUUCAUCUAUUUCGACUUUACCAAGGUUGUUUCUAACUCUACUCCAAUGACUAAUGGUGGGUAUAUGAACGGAAAAGUGAAAACCAAUGAUCCCGAACCCGCCGAGCUCUCUGAAUUUAUGACUAAAGUCUCAGGUCUUCUUAAGUAAGUCCAAAAUCCAAUGAAUCCCUUACUAUCCUUUAGUUUAGUUUCUUUCGAUCAAAGCACUAAACAUUUUGAUCUUAUUAAGGCUUGUGGAUUCCAAAGACAUAGUGGAACUUGAACUGAAGCAACUCGACUGUGAGAUCGUUAUUCGAAAGAAGGAAGCUUUACAGCAAGCUGUACCACCAGCUCCAGUUUAUCACUCGAUGCCUCCUCCAAUGACAGACCUUUCAAUGCCUCCAGCUCAACCAGUGGCUCCUCCUCCUUCUCCGACUCCUUCCUCAACCCCUGCAACAGCAAAACCAACAACCGCCCCAUCCUCAUCUCAUCCUCCACUCAAGAGUCCUAUGGCUGGUACUUUCUACAGAUCUCCUGGACCUGGUGAACCACCUUUUGUCAAGGU
rnacentral:lncRNA from 1 species